GAUGAACGCUGGCGGCGUGCCUAAUACAUGCAAGUCGAGCGAACAGACGAGGAGCUUGCUCCUCUGACGUUAGCGGCGGACGGGUGAGUAACACGUGGAUAACCUACCUAUAAGACUGGGAUAACUUCGGGAAACCGGAGCUAAUACCGGAUAAUAUAUUGAACCGCAUGGUUCAAUAGUGAAAGACGGUUUUGCUGUCACUUAUAGAUGGAUCCGCGCCGCAUUAGCUAGUUGGUAAGGUAACGGCUUACCAAGGCGACGAUGCGUAGCCGACCUGAGAGGGUGAUCGGCCACACUGGAACUGAGACACGGUUCAGACUCCUACGGGAGGCAGCAGUAGGGAAUCUUCCGCAAUGGGCGAAAGCUUGACGGAGCAACGCCGAGUGAGUGAUGAAGGUCUUCGGAUCGUAAAACUCUGUUAUUAGGGAAGAACAAAUGUGUAAGUAACUAUGCACGUCUUGACGGUACCUAAUCAGAAAGCCACGGCUAACUACGUG
rnacentral:rRNA from 1 species